rnacentral:rRNA from 1 species
GAUGAACGCUGGCGGCGUGCCUAAUACAUGCAAGUCGAGCGAACGGACGAGAAGCUUGCUUCUCUGAUGUUAGCGGCGGACGGGUGAGUAACACGUGGAUAACCUACCUAUAAGACUGGGAUAACUUCGGGAAACCGGAGCUAAUACCGGAUAAUAUUUUGAACCGCAUGGUUCAGAAGUGAAAGACGGUCUUGCUGUCACUUAUAGAUGGAUCCGCGCUGCAUUAGCUAGUUGGUAAGGUAACGGCUUACCAAGGCAACGAUGCAUAGCCGACCUGAGAGGGGGAUCGGCCCCACUGGACCUGAGACACGGUCCAGACUCCUACGGGAGGCAGCAGUAGGGAAUCUUCCGCAAUGGGCGAAAGCCUGACGGAGAAACGCCGCGUGAGUGAUGAAGGUCUUCGGAUCGUAAAACUCUGUUAUUAGGGAAGAACAUAUGUGUAAGUAACUGUGCACACCUGGACGGGACCUAAUAAGAAAGCAACGGCUAACUCCGU